rnacentral:rRNA from 1 species
UCAACGAAACUACGAAAGGAAGUUGACGGGGCCCGCACAAGCGGUGGAGUAUGUGGUUUAAUUCGAUGCAACGCGAAGAACCUUACCUGGUCUUGACAUCCCGGAGACCCUUAGGAAACUAGGGGUGCUUCCAUCUGGAAGAAUCUGGAGACAGGUGCUGCAUGGCUGUCGUCAGCUCGUGUCGUGAGAUGUUGGGUUAAGUCCCGCAACGAGCGCAACCCUUGCCUUUAGUUGCCAGCAGUUCGGCUGGGCACUCUAAAGGGACUGCCGGUGUUAAACCGGAGGAAGGUGGGGAUGACGUCAAGUCCUCAUGGCCUUUAUGACCAGGGCUACACACGUACUACAAUGGCCGAUACAAAGGGCAGCGACACUGCGAGGUGAAGCCAAUCCCGUAAAAUCGGUCUCAGUCCGGAUUGGAGUCUGCAACUCGACUCCAUGAAGUUGGAAUCGCUAGUAAUCGUGGAUCAGCAUGCCACGGUGAAUACGUUCCCGGGCCUU